rnacentral:lncRNA from 1 species
GCACCCGCCGCACAUCGACCUGGAGCGGAGCAGCUGCCGCGACCGGGAGGGCGUGUGGUGCGUGUGUGUCACCCGUGUCACCGAGUGUCACCCGUGUGUGUCACCCCUGUCACUGUGUCCGUGUGUGUCACCGAGUGUCACCGUGUCCGUGUGUGUCACCCGUGUCACCGUGUCCGUGUGUGUCACCCCUGUCACCGUGUCCGUGUGUGUCACCGAGUGUCACCCGUGACACCGAGUGUCACCCGUGUGUCACCCCUGUCACCGUGUCCGUGUGUGUCACCCGUGUCACCGUGUCCGUGUGUGUCACCGAGUGUCACCGUGUCCAUGUGUGUCACCCGUGUGUCACCGUGUGUCAUCGUGUCCGUGUGUGUCACCCGUGUCACCGUGUCCCCGAGUGUCACCCGUGUGUCACCCGUGUGUCACCCGUGUCACCGAGUGUCACCCGUGUGUCACCGAGUGUCACCCGUGUCACCGAGUGUCACCCGUGUGUCACCCCUGUCACCGUGUCCGUGUGUGUCACCGAGUGUCACCCGUGUCACCGAGUGUCACCCCCGUGUGUCACCGUGUCCCCGUGUGUCACCCCCGUGUGUCACCGAGUGUCACCCGUGUCACCGAGUGUCACCGUGUCACCGAGUGUCACCCGUGUGUCACCCGUGUCACCGUGUCCCCGUGUGUCACCCCCGUGUGUCACCGAGUGUCACCCGUGUCCCCGUGUGUCACCCGUGUGUCACCCCUGUCACCGUGUCCGUGUGUGUCACCGAGUGUCACCCGUGUCCCCAAGUGUCACCCCCGUGUGUCACCCGUGUCACCGUGUCCGUGUGUGUCACCCGUGUCACCGUGUCCGUGUGUGUCACCCGUGUCACCGUGUCCCCGUGUCACCGUGUGUCACCCGUGUCCCCGAGUGUCCCCGAGUGUCCCCCCGUGUCCCCCCGUGUGUCCCCGUGUGUCCCCGAGUGUCCCCCUGUGUCCCCGAGUGUCCCCGUGUGUCACCCGUGUCACCGAG